rnacentral:rRNA from 1 species
UACGUAGGUCCCGAGCGUUGUCCGGAUUUAUUGGGCGUAAAGCGAGCGCAGGUGGUUUAUUAAGUCUGGUGUAAAAGGCAGUGGCUCAACCAUUGUAUGCAUUGGAAACUGGUAGACUUGAGUGCAGGAGGGGAGAGUGGAAUUCCAUGUGUAGCGGUGAAAUGCGUAGAUAUAUGGAGGAACACCGGUGGCGAAAGCGGCUCUCUGACCUGUAACUGACACUGAGGCUCGAAAGCGUGGGGAGCAAACAGG